CCCCUAGAUGUUCUGGGCCGCACGCACGCUACACUGAACAGUUCAACAAGUCUUAACCUUGGCCGAUAGGUCUGGGUAAUCUUUGAACGCUGUUCGUGAUUGGGAUAGACCUUUGCAAUUAUGGGUCUUCAACGAGGAAUUCCUAGUAAGCGCGAGUCAUCAGCUCGUGCUGAUUACGUCCCUGCCCUUUGUACACACCGCCCGUCGCUCCUACCGAUUGAAUGGUCCGGUGAAAAUUUCGGGUACCGGCAUUGCUGGCGGUUCGCCGCCGGCGACGCUGGUAGAAGAUCUUUAAACCUUAUCAUUUAGAGGAAGGAGAAGUCGUAACA
rnacentral:rRNA from 1 species